GGAGGGUGGGGGCAGCGAUGCAGGCAGGCAGGCUAACGCAGAAAGAAAGCACACGGUGUGUAGGAGCAACAGGUGAUAAGUGCAUAUGAAAACAAGUCUGAACCUUCCUGCGUUAGCACUGGGGAUGGAAGUAAAAAUAAAUCGAGGAGUUAAAUCAAGGAUCUCAAGCUGAGACAUGAAAAGUGGUGUUCUUGGAUGUGGAAGCUGGAGAGGAGGCAUUUGCUGGGGAGAUGACGGUGUGAAGCUAACCUAGAAAUAUAAAGAAAAAGAAGAGAGAAGAGGGAUUAAUUUGAGGUAGUUCAGCUAGGUCUUUGGAGGGUGUUAAAUGCCUAUGGCCAGAGGAAUCAGACCACAGCAGGCAUCCCUCGGAUGGAACACGUAAGUCUGCUUAGUCACUGGCUAGCUUAGUCUGUCCUGGCUACACAGUAGACUGGAUAGCUUACAAUCAGCAAACACUCAUUUCUGGGAGUCACCUGGGUUAAGAAGUUUGU